ACCAGCUCCCAUUGGAGCUGUUACUGUUCAUCCGAACAGUUUUUGCUUCGCCACCACCUCCACCGACCACCAAAUCGCAUGAUAUUAGUACCAAAACGUCAAGCUCACUUCCCUCUUCCUAUCCCGACUAAUCUCUGCCGCUGGAACCACCGGAGAUGGCCGGAAAAUGCAAAAAUCCGAUCGGUUUCGACCCAGUUUUUGACAGAGUUUUCGCCGGCGAUUUCUCCCUCCUCCGGCCACCAAACCGGUCGAUUAAGGCCCGUCGGAGUUUGUCCAGGCCCCUCGGAGAUUUAUUGAGUUAUUUUGCCCAGGCCCGUCGCAGUUUGUCUAGGCCCCUCGGAGAUUUAUUGAGUUAUUUUGCCCAGGCCCGUCGGAGUUUGUCCAGGCCCUUCGGAGAUUUAUUGAGUUAUUUUGCCCAGACCCGUCGGAGUUUGCCCAGGCCCUUUGGAGAUUUGUUUUGCCCAGGCCCGUCGGAGUUUGUCCAGGCCCUUCGGAUGUCUUUUUAAUACGAUGCCUUGGGAAAAAUUGGAUUAAGGAAGGGAAUAUUACUUUAUAAUAUUUAUAUAAGGAUUACGAACUCCACCAUCAUACGUACCUCCCCCUUGAUGAUGAUACUUGGAAACAGUGGAUAUGGACACUGGGAUAUAUGGGUAUGGUUGUGGGGUUGAACUGAUAUUAAAGAAAGAGAUUGAGAAUGUGUUCAUUGUGUUUUGUCGGAAUUUGAGUUGUGAUGAAUCUGAAAUGUAUAGUUGGUUCUGUUGUAAAUAAUUGUUUAUUAUCGGAAUUGUGACUGUUGACAUGAGAACUACGUGUGGCUUGAUCCCUUGCCCAAGGGUACGUAGGCAGCCUGGGGUCUCACCAGGUGCAGCCGCGGAAUAUUAUUGUGUUUAAAAGGUUUGAUCGAUUCUGUGUAUGUGAUUGGACUUCUGAUGUGGUUUUCGAUGUGAUUGUUGGAUUUGAAUCCGGUAUAAUGAUUUUCUGUGGUA